rnacentral:rRNA from 1 species
CCCUUAUAUGUUCUGGGCCGCACGCGCGCUACACUGAUGCAUUCAACGAGCCUAUCCUUGACCGACAGGUCCGGGUAAUCUUUGAAUCUGCAUCGUGACGGGGAUAGAUUAUUGCAAUUAUUAAUCUUCAACGAGGAAUGCCUAGUAGGCGCAAGUCAUCAGCUUGCGUCGAUUACGUCCCUGCCCUUUGUACACACCGCCCGUCGCUCCUACCGAUUGGGUGUGCUGGUGAAAUGUUCGGAUCGGCCGUUUGUCGCGGUUUCCGCGUCAUGUGGCUGAGAAGUUCAUUAAACCCUCCCACCUAGAGGAAGGAGAAGUCGUAACA